AACGGUCUAUACCUGCGGUACCUGCGGAGGGAUCAUUAACGAGUGUAACUUACCCUUUUUUUUAAAAGAGGGUAGUACCUCCUGUCCUUUGUAGGCCCCUUUUUAUUGGGGGGCUUUUUAAGACUUUCUGCUUCGGCGGGGUUAUUCCCGCCGGAACACCCUCAAAAAACUCUUCAAAAACUAAUUCAGUCCGAGAAUUUUUGAAAAUAAAAAAAACUUUCAGCAAUGGAUCUCUAGAUC
rnacentral:misc_RNA from 1 species